GGGGCUCCCUGGAUGAAGGAACCUACCGAAACCCCCUUGUACUCACGAUCAGUCGCUGCGGUUCUGGCUGGGACAGCUCCAAAGCAGCAAACCUCAGCAUCGCUGAGCUCUGCUCUCUGAUGACUGCAAUGGGAUCUGAGGGAACUGCAUGAAGCUGCAACAGUCUGUAUCUCUUGACCUGAAGGAGAGCUGAACAAUCUAGUAUGCCUCCCAUUCCUUUGUGGUUACCACAGUAUUCAGCUGCUUCUGCCCUUCCCUACAGCAUGAGUGUCCAACCUUUUAGCUUGCCUGCGCUGCAGUGAGGAAAGAGGAAUUGCCUUUGGCUGCAUUUAUCAAGUGGCUGUGCACAUUCAUUAAGGAGAAGUAUCUAGAUCUCAAAAAGAUCACAGGCAGUUUGAGAGCUCCAGUUCUGUAACCUAUGCAGCUAAUUGUUAUCUUUGUUAGUACAAGAAAGCUACUUCACUGUCUUUAGUACAGAAAAUUAAAGGCUAUAUAUAAAGAGAGAAUACGCAAGAGCCAUCCACUGCUGCAAUAAAGGAAAUGCGAUUAAUCACUACAUGUGCUGCCAAAGAAAGAUUUGCUUGUGGUAAUUAUAGAAAAAUAUAACCUUCCAUGGGCAGAAAGAAGAAGAAAAAUGAGAAUGAAAGUAACAAAACACUGAAGACACAAGAAUUCAGUUGCUGAGCCCUUAAUAAGUUAUCAGAGUGUCCUCUCUUGCUGCUCACUCCAAUACUUCCUAAUCAGUUGUUUUUUAAAUUUAUUUAUUUCCUUCCAUCUGGAACAAUAGUUGCUAUCAAGGACAGCAGGAAAAGCAGAAAACCUUCUGCAAAUAAUAAAUGUCUUUUCACUCAGGCCGUAGUUCUCUCAGCACAUAAAUAAAUAUAAUCAUUGACUAAUGAACACAUAUUUAGCUGGGCUUUGUUUUUGUCCCUUUCCAGUUAUCUUCCACUGGCUUUCAUUUGCUUGUCCUUGCAUCUUAAUACCUUUUUCCUGCACUCACAAUAGAACAAGCUUGUCCAUUGUUCUUCUGUAUGAGUAUGUAUAUAUGGGCAUGUCUUCAAAUGCUUUUGAUACUCAUCUUGACUUCAGUUUUCUACUCAUGUCCAAGCUACUAGUAUCAAAUUAAUAACAAUAAGAGCACACACUCUUUAUUUUUUUUCUCCACAUUCCUAUGUUAGAAUGGGGGAUUGAGGUGAGAAAAACACUCAUUCUUCAUUAAAGCCCAGGAUCAUGCCCUCAGAGAGAAGAAGAAAUAGAUAUCAUCUGCUCUCCUACAUAGUAAUCUUCUACAGUCAGGGAAAGAAGGAGCUGACACUACUAGUUAAUUGCAGGUGAAGGGAGAGUGGGCAUUUGGAAAAUGCAGAAACAUUGUCAAACUGUGGAGUCCGCUUUUGCUUGUAUGAAUAGCACCUAUAGCCAGUCACUGGUUUCUGUAGUAAGAGAGGUUCACAUAUCACCUCAGCUCAUCAGAAGGAAGUGAAACUAAAGCAGGCAAACAAGAAAGACACAACUAGAGUCUCAAAAUAAUCAUCUGCAUUUGAAUUAAAAUAUUAAAACAUAAAAAGCCCAGGUACUCUUCUAAAAUUGUUUUUUUAAAGUUUUCCUCCACAUAGUUAAUUCAACUGGCACAUUGAAUAUUUCCAGAACUGGGAAUUUUAUAUAGCAUAUCAACCCCUUGCUCCCUUUCCAUGUUUAAAUGAAAGUCAAGGGCUGAAAGCCUAAGAAGAAACAAUUCAAUCACAGAGGUGCUUGGUAGGUUACAUUUGAGUGUAACAUGAAAUACAGGUCUGUGAACUGGAAACUCUUAAGAGGUAAAGAACGCAUUCAGCACAGUGGGUACUCAGUACAAAGCAGUGCAGUGUCAUGGUAAAACCCCCUCAUGAUCAGUGAGGUCAUUCCAGGGCUGCCACAAGGAUCCGUGUGGCUGUAGAGGCCAAGCCCCUGGAGGGAGAAGCCUAAUUCUGACAGUGAUUUUGCUUCCUGAACUCAAAUGUCAGGCUGCAUGUGGAAAUUUAUCCCAAGAACUCAUCACCUUGCAGUUUCUGCAGAACUGUUUGUACUUCCCUAUUGCAAGCUUUGUUUUCUCAAUUUUCAGUUUGCUUUUGACAUGACAGGAGUUCAGUACAGACCAGUAGUUGUUACACUCAAAUACACUGUGGUCUGAGACUACAGUGGAUGACAAAACACAUUAUCUGUGAAUUAAGACCAGAACAUAAUGCAGAAAAUCUCCAUGAUCUGUUUCCUGAGCAUUACUCUCAUACAUAAGAAUUUUGAAAAGGAAUAGCUUAAUUUUAGGUAGCUCUCUGUCUCAAACAGUGUGGAAAAAUGUGAAGGUUACUUAAAAAAAAAUAAAAAUAAAAAUAAACACUAUCAUCAUUAACAACAACAAAAACAAUCUGGAAGGAUAUUGUCUUUUUAAAUAUAAACUGAGCACAAGUAAAUGAUGAUUAGACAAGAGGCCACACACCAGGGUAUCUCUCUUGCCCUGAAGUUAAAAUCAACAGGGAUCAUAUGCAGGGAAAGAAAAACACACAAAGAAACAAACAAACAAAAAAAAAAACUUUGGGAGAGAAGAGCUGUUGGCAGAAAUUUGAUAGUGUACAGUGUAUGAAAGUUACAGAGAGGGGCAAAGUUCUAAAUUACCUGUAGAAAUCUGUAAUUAGGUUUCUGGAAUACUAUGGUAGCUUUGAAAGACUAUUAAUAAUAUUUAGUGGUUCAAAAUUUUUAGGAAAAUUCAUCCAGUCUGAUCUCUUAUAGUUAUCACUUUCAAUACAGUUUAAAAGUAGCCUUUCCAUGAGUGAAAUGUAUUUCAAACCUGUGAAUAUGUGGUAGCUGAACUUACACUAAAAGCAUCAAAAACUGUUUAAAUGGCCCACUAAGAACAUUUAAACGUACAUACAGAAAUAUGAGUGGAAAUUCAUGUAUAACAAUGGUUUGCAUCAACAAUAGCUUACUCUUUUUAGGCUCCCAUAACUACUUGGCUAUAUUCUAUGUUAUAGAAAAAGCCUUGGUUUAAACAUGGAAUAAUGUGAUAUAAAUCAAUUAAUUGAUUAGCUUAAGGAUAUAGCCUUAGCUAGAAGUAAGUCCAAACCUUUUUCAGUCCAAGGACAAUGUUUUAUGUACAAGAUUAAUCUUUUCUUUCCUUUCUAACUUUCGUUACUAAUUGUUCAGACAAAUUCAGCACAGUGGAGUGGAAAGAAAAGUACAUAGUGACUGUGGAGAAAUUGUUUUCCAACUGGUGUUUUAGCAUUUUGAGAAUGACCAUCAAAAACGGAACUGCAGAAUGGAGUGACUAAUUUAUUUGAUCAGAACAAAGAACUAUACUGUAAUGCAAAAAGCAAACAAUAGGACAAUAUUAGCAGUAUAGAUGCUAUACAUCUUCAAGAAGGUCUGUUGUGCUAUGUUAUUCUUCUGCAAACUUCAUAAUGAUAAAAUGUCUGAGUUAGUUAAAAUGUUAUCUCUUAAUUUUCAGUCAUUUGAUUUUGUAUUUUGAAACUCUUCCUGAGAAG